UCAGUUCAGAUCGUAGGCUGCAACUCGCCUACGUGAAGGAGGAAUCGCUAGUAAUCGCAGGUCAGCAUACUGCGGUGAAUACGUUCCCGGGCCUUGUACACACCGCCCGUCACACCAUGGAAGUUGGCCACGCCCGAAGUCGUUACUCCAACCCUUGUGGAGGAGGACGCCGAAGGUGGGGCUGAUGACUGGGGUGAAGUCGUAACAAGGUAGCCGUACCGGAAGGUGCGGCUGGAUCACCUCCUAACAGGGAGAAACAACUUCAGAUGAUGAUCACUUCUUUUUUACGUGAUCCAUUUGACUGUUCAACCCGAUGGUCGAUCGGUACCUCAGUCAUUCAAGCGAAGGUUUGAAUGAAUUCGGUUCUUAAGCUUGUCUAGGUCACCACACCAAAAGCUGAUAGGCUUUUGGGCGAUGGGCCCGAAAGGGUUCCUGGGCCAUUAGCUCAGGUGGUUAGAGCGCACCCCUGAUAAGGGUGAGGUCCCUGGUUCAAGUCCAGGAUGGCCCAUCGGGAUUGGGGGUUUAGCUCAGCUGGUAGAGCGCCUGCUUUGCAAGCAGGAUGUCAGCGGUUCGAGUCCGCUAACCUCCAUCAAUUCUGAUGAGGGAACACGACAGGGCGUUGGUGAUUUUAGGCACGAUUGUUGGUGAAUCCAGCCUCGUUUGAUUCUUGAGAGAGUUCAAACGAUGCUGGGCUCAGCAAUGGGUUCAGCGAGAACCUUGACAACUGCAUAGGAAAGUCU
rnacentral:misc_RNA from 1 species